AGGAGCUGCUGAGUCCCUCUCUAGUGGGAGGAGGAGCUGCUGAGUCUCUCCCUAAUGGGAGGCGGAGCUGCUGAGUCCCUCUCUAUUGGGAGGAGGAGCUGCUGAGUCCCUCUCUAGUGGGAGGAGGAACUGCUGAGUCCCUCUCUAGUGGGAGGAGGAGCUGCUGUGUUAAACAAGCAAAUAUUUGACUGACCUUUGCUUUCACCCAAAGUUCCCCGUCAAGGAGUUUGGAUAGCCAGAGUAAACAAACACAACCGAGGCUAAAAUACAAUAUUAUUGUCCACUGGGCACGAUCAGAAACAUGAAAUGCAUAUAAAACAAUUUCAAGCAAACCUCCGCCCGGCCAUCUCGAGGUAUGAAUACCCAGCAAGCCUACAAGUAGACGAUGGAGGUUAUGGCUGGUGCUGCUGUUUAGUUAGGAACUUCCAACCGACCGGCCGCUGUAUAAAUCCCCCUAGAGUCUACUGACGCACCGGUGAGUCAAUCUAAGUAAAAUAAUUGUAAAAAAUCCCUAUCAAAAUCCAUCAGUUUAAACUACAAAUAUCUUUUUUUUUUUUUUUUACAUGGACCGCGUCUGAAUCCACCUCAUCUGUCUAUGUCUCCCUUCCACAUCUGUCUAUGUCUCCCUUCCACAUCUGUCUAUGUCGCCCUUCCACAUCUGUCUAUGUCUCCCUUCCACAUCUGUCUAUGUCGCCCUUCCACAUCUGUCUAUGUCGCCUCUCCACAUCUGUCUAUGUCGCCUUUCCACAUCUGUCUAUGUCGCCCUUCCACAUCUGUCUAUGUCGCCCUUCCACAUCUGUCUGUCGCCCUUCCACAUCGGUCUGUCGCCUCUCCACAUCUGCGGUGGCAAGCCUCAUAGCUACAACGCUGUUUACAACACAAGGAGACAAACCCAAAAAUCUGAAUUAUUACAACACAUUUUUAUUUAGCAUCUGCAUAGUUUGACCUAGAAAAACGAAUGUGACUAUAAUGAGCAUGAUGGUGUUCUAUGUUUUGCUCUACGACCGCCCCCCCCUCCCCCCACAGGCCCCACAGCAUCUGUCGGAAGUCUGUAACGCUUGGCGUGCCAACUGUUGUCUGUUGUGUCCGAUCUGUUUGGGCUACAAAUUAAUAUGAUCCCACUAUAGAUAAGGUGGGAGGUUCUCACGAACACAAAAGUGUUCGUCUAAUGGUAACCCAUAAAAAAUGAAGUAUGGAGGUAGUUUAGUGCCAACAAAAAAUAAGGGUUUAAAUGUGUUAAAACUCCUUCAAAACCGUAUUCCUUAUGGGAUAUUUGUGGACUGCCAUUUUUUUUACAUUUCUCAAUGUGUUAUUUGAUGCUUUUCUAUGGGCUAUACUGUAGUAGUAAGGUCAUUUAAAAAAUAUAUGUUUUGUAUCAAAACUAUUUAGUUUUGAUACAAUCAAUGUUAUAGAUUAUUUUGCUGUAUAAAUAUUUCUCUAUUAAUAUUAGAGAUUUAUUUCACUGGUUAUUAAGGAUGCUGUAUGACAGAGCAUGAUUUUCACAGGAUAUGAUGGCCCUUUGCGCAAAUAGUUCAAGUCUUCUAAAUUUCUAAAUAUAAAAUAAUUGUGUUUCCAUUGAUCAUCCUGGGGAUGUUCCUACAACUUGAUUGGAGUCCACCUGUGGUAAAUUCAAAUUGACUGGACAUGAUUUGGAAAGGCACACACCUGUCUAUAUGUCCCACAGUUGACAGUGCAUGUCAGAGUAAAAACAAAGCCAUGAGGUAGAAGGAAUUGUCUGUAAAGCUCCAUGACAGGAUUGUGAAAAGGCACAGAUCUGGGGAAGGGAAUCAAAAAAGGUUAAGCAGCAUUGAAGGUCCCCAAGAACACAGUGGCCUCCAUCAAUCUUAAAUGGAAGAAGUUUGGAACCACCAAACUUCCUAGAACUGGUCACCUGUCCAAACUGAGCAAUCGGGGGAGAAGGGCCAUGGUCAGGGAGGUGACCAAUAACCCGAUGGUCACUCUGACAGAGCUCCAGAGUUCCUCUGUGGAGAUGGGAAAACCUUCCAGAAGGACAACCAUCUCUGCAGCACUCCACCAAUCAGGCCUUCAUGGUAGAGUGGCCAGACGGAAGCCCCUUCUCAGUAAAAGGCACAUGACAACCCGCUUGGAAUUUGCCAAAUGGCACUUAAAGACUCCCAGACCAUAAGAAGCUAGAUUCUCUGGUCUGAUGAAACCAAGAUUGAACUCUUUGGCCUGAACGCCAAGCAUCACGUCUGGAGGACACCUGGCACCAUCCCUACGGUGAAGCAUGGAGGUGGCAGCAUCAUGCCGUGUAGAUGUUUUUCAGCAGCAGGGACUUAGAGAUUAGUCAGAAUUGAGGCAUUGAUUAACGGAAUAAAGUACAGAAAAAACCUGGAUGAAAAUCUGCUCCAGAGCGCUCAGGACCUCAGACUGGGGUGAAAGUUCACUUUCCAACAUGACAACGACUCUAAGCACACAGCCAAGACAACGCAGGACAAGUCUCUGAAUGUCCUUGAAUUAAUACAUGUAAUAGCUGCCAAAGGUGCUUCAACAAAGUUCUGAGUAAAGGGUCUGAACACUUCUGUUUUAAACUCAUUAUUUGCUUAUUUGUGUUUGAUAAAUUAGCAAAACUUUCUAAUAACCUGUUUUUGCUUUGUGAUUAUGGGGUAUUGUGAUGUCAUUGUGGGGUAUUGUUAUGUCAUUGUGGGGGUAUUGUGAUGUCAUUGUGGGGUAUUGUUAUGUCAUUGUGGUGGUAUUGUGAUGCCAUUAUGGGGUAUUGUGAUGUCAUUAUGGGGUAUUGGGUGUAGAUUUAUGAGGGGAAAAAAAUAACAAUUUAAUAAAUUUAAGAAUAAGGCUGUAAUGUAACAAAAUGUGGAAAAAGUCAAGGGGUCUGAACACUUCCCGAAGGCACUGUGUAUUAAGUUGGUAAGCCAGCCUGUUGCUCUGUGUAUACAGGAGGAAAGGAAAGGCGAGGAGAGAAAUCUCUGUUUCAUGAUAGGCAUGUCACAUGCUUCUCCUCCUAAUCUUUUAUUUAAGUCUAGAAGCCUGUGGCUGACACACAUGCGCACGCACGCACGCACGCACACACACACACACACACACACGCACACACACAGACACACACACGCACGCACGCACGGCGGGUGUAUUAGUAAAAUUUAAAAUUGAUGUAUGGCUGAAAAGGCCCCUAGACCUACUAUAAUUCUGUCAUAUAGACUCUUUGACAGUGUCACAAAUAUUUAAUUUAAGCACCUCAUUAUACGGUGACUAGCCCUGCUUUCUCUUCCUCAUCAUUUUUAAAAAAUUCUGUUGAUGCUGUUGGGCACACUACACGAAUCUUCAUAUUAAUUGUUUUUAAAAAAUAUUUUUAUGAAAAGAUGAUCAAUCGGAUGGCGGGGUCAUUUGUAUGUUUGUGUCUGGUGGUCAGGGUUGGGGAAGACUAGGGCUGGGGGUUUGGGAAGACUAGGGCUGGGAGUUGGGGAAGACUAGAGCUGGGGUUUUUUGAAGACUAGGGCUAGGGGUUGGGGAAGACUAGGGCCGGGUGUGGUGGAAGACUAGGGCUGGGGGUUUGGGAAGACUAGGGCUGGGG
rnacentral:lncRNA from 13 species